GAAUUAUUGGGUUUAAAGGGUCCGUAGGCGGGUCGAUAAGUCAGGGGUGAAAGUCUGCCGCUCAACGGUAGAACUGCCUUUGAUACUGUCGGUCUUGAGUUAUAGUGAAGUUGCCGGAAUAUGUAGUGUAGCGGUGAAAUGCAUAGAUAUUACAUAGAACACCGGUUGCGAAGGCAGGUGACUAACUAUAUACUGACGCUGAUGGACGAAAGCGUGGGGAGCGAACAGGAUUAGAUACCCUGGUAGUCCACGCCGUAAACGAUGGAUACUAGCUGUCCGGAACCUUGAGUUCUGGGCGGCCAAGCGAAAGUGAUAAGUAUCCCACCUGGGGAGUACGUUCGCAAGAAUGAAACUCAAAGGAAUUGACGGGGGCCCGCACAAGCGGUGGAGCAUGUGGUUUAAUUCGAUGAUACGCGAGGAACCUUACCAGGGCUUAAAUGCAUAUUGACAGGUCUAGAGAUAGAUUUUCCUUCGGGCAAUUUGCAAGGUGCUGCAUGGUUGUCGUCAGCUCGUGCCGUGAGGUGUCAGGUUAAGUCCUAUAACGAGCGCAACCCCUACCGUUAGUUGCCAGCAUGUCAUGAUGGGGACUCUAACGGGACUGCCGGUGCAAACCGUGAGGAAGGUGGGGAUGACGUCAAAUCAUCACGGCCCUUACGUCCGGGGCCACACACGUGCUGCAAUGGCAGGUACAGAGAGCAGCCACGUCGCAAGGCGGAGCGAAUCUAUAAAACCUGUCACAGUUCGGAUCGGGGUGUGCAACUCGACCCCGUGAAGCUGGAAUCGCUAGUAAUCGGAUAUCAGCCAUGAUCCGGUGAAUACGUUCCCGGGCCUUGUACACACCGCCCGUCAAGCCAUGGAAGCCGGGAGUGCCUGAAGUCCGUCA
rnacentral:rRNA from 1 species